GCCUGGGUGGCUGAGUCGGUUGAGCGUCUGACUCUUGAUUUCAGUUGUGUCAUGAUCUCGGGGGUGUGGGAUCGAGCCCCACAUCAGGCG
rnacentral:tRNA from 1 species